GGAGACAGAGAUGGCGCCAGGGAAGCUGUCCACGGUGAGCUGCGGGCGGCGGUGGAAGCGCAGCGACGGCGAGGAAUCCCCGGUGCCCCAACUCCCAAAUUGACCACGGCGCAGUCAUGGGAGCAUCCCAGGAGAUGCAGCGAAUGUCCCCGACCACCAAACGAAGGAUUGUAUGCGACGCACGCGGGAUUUGACCGCGGCGGCGAAAUCCGUUUCUCCUCCGCGACGGUGAAAUGAUUUUAGCGAGGAAUCCUCGCCGCACCGAGGACUCGCGAGCUCGAUUACUCCCCUGCUCCCGAUCUACACCUUCGUCGGUUCGCCUGGGAUCACACCGUGGAUUCCGAGCUAGGAUGGCAGCGAGGAACGACAGCAGUGCCCCAGGUUCACUGACGGCGGAUAUGCCAGAGCUCACCACAGCCAUGGGAGCGGCGGCUUGGCAGCAGCACCGCACCCCAGCGAGGUAUCCACCACGCCCAGCCGCCAGUCGAGUCCGCAGUGGCGCCAAGGCGAGGGAGGGACAAGACGGGGAGGUCGACGGCGAGCUACAAGCAGGCUAGACAAAAGCAGGGUGCAAUCCGGAGGAGAGGCGCGUGACUGGAGUUGAGCGGAGGGCAGGGGCACGACGGAGGAACUUUCCAUGGGGAACAGGGAGGGCUAACCUUCGAUUUUAUCUCAGGGUGGAGCCCGACUUUAGGGGGCGAAGCAGUCAGCGAGGAGCGAGAUGCGUGUGGCUCCUGCUGCGAACGACCGGCGGAGAAGGAGGAGAUCGCUACGAACGGGGCGAUUCUGUUCCGAGGUACCAGGAGGAACUGGUCAAUGGGCCCCGCGAAUCAGUCGGGUAGGGAAAUGGCUGGCGGCGAAACGGCUGCCGCACACACCAAGUUUCUCUGGCGUGAGGGGCCCAUGCGCCGGUCACAGAGGAAAGACAGUGCGAGUGCUUUGUGGGAGGGACUGCAUGUGGGGCCCGCGCGUCAUCCAUGGCACAUGAGCGUGAGCACGAGGCGCACUGGUGGGCUGCGCGACUGAAGGUUACAUGGGCCGACAGACGAGAAAGACAGCCCAAGCUAUGGAUAAAUUGUUUUCCCUUUUCUUUUGUUCAUUCCUAUUUCUUUUUCUUUUCUACUUUCAACUCCAAAUUCAAAAUUUGAAUCCCAAAUCAUAUUUGAGUGAAGAUCUGGAGUCUAGCUAUACGCACAAUCAAAGAAAUACUCGGCAUGAAUACAAAGUGUAUGUAUUUUUUAUAUAUUUACCUAGAUUAUUUUAUUCCUUGGUUUAGGCAAAGGCUCAAUGCACACAUUUUAUUUUAGAAAAGAUAUUAAUUUUUUUUUUUAGUAUGUGAUCAAAUUUCAAGCUGACUAAGGUUAAUACUCAUUAUCUUACUUGUUUAGGGGAAAAUAAUGUAUUCUCUUUUACCAAGAAUUACUUAAUCUUGAAUAUAUUUAAGGGCAUUCUUUAAAUUUCUUGCGGAGAAUAACUUGUUCUACUAGAUUGUAGGUAUUCAUAUUUUAUGUUUACUCAACUUCGUAGUAUUAUUCCUCAUAAAAGACAUAAAAGACAUAAAAGGAAUACCCAACUCUUAGCUUAGUUUUAGGGUUUACAAAUCCUACCCCCCUUAAUAGAAAUCUCGUCCUCGAGAUUUGCAAGAACAGGGUAUAUAACCAAGUUAUCUCAAAACAUAUGCACAAAGAAAAAUCUCGGCAUGAUGCAUAAUUUAUUAGCAAUACAUGGGGUCACUUAGACCUUAUUAUUCCUCCUAAAAAUAGUAUCAUACCAUUUACUAACUAAAGUAACGUUUAGAUCUUACAAAUAGUAGUAAUUUAUAUAGAUGUUUAUGUAGCUCGGUGGAGCUUGUGGUUAGGAAAGCAUGGGUGUAUAUAUGUAUGUCCACUUUAUUAUGUAGGAUAGAAGAUGCCUUUAAAGCAUAGAUAGAUUUGGGCAAGAAAGGGUAGGGUAAGGAAGUACUCCAUCCAAGAUUGUGGAUCUUGAUUCCUUUGAAGAUCUGACUUGAAUCUUAUCCUUCCUUGAUUUGAUGAGGUCAAUCAUCUUCAAUCUUCGUUCUCGAAGUUGCUAUCCGAACUUGGGACAUGUAGUGAAGGUAGAUUCUUAGGUAAACAAAAUAGAUUAAUAGGUGGUUAUGAGUUAAAUAAGGUUAAGCAGAGUCUGUCUUGUUGUUUUGCUUCCAGGUUGGUUGGAUAAGUUAUGUAACCUGUUAUAUCGGUCAAGUUUGGUGUUAUCAUCAAGGAUAAUGGGUAUUGGUGUUACCAUAACUAGGGACAUAGUUGAGAUAGGUGUGGGUACAUGGGGUAGGUAGAUUGAACAGAGUUUUUUUUACUUGUAAGAUAAAUGGGUUGGGCAACCUAUAAUAUAGGCUGGGUCGUGGUUUCUCGGACAAGUUGGUCUAAGACACCAACUUAGGUUUAACAACCCAUUCAUAUGAAUAUGAUCUAACAUGUGUUACCAGUAUUAACCAACUUGUUUAAGUAACUUCCUUUAGAUCAGAUUAGGUAGGGUCUAUUAAGAUAUGAGAGAAUCUUUUAAGAUAAGAUGAUUCUGUUAAGAUAAGAAAGAAUCUUUUAAGAUAAGAUGGAUCUAUUUAAAAUAGAUACACUUUAAUGGAGGAUAAUCUAAGUUGUUUAGUUAUCUCAUGAAUUUUAUUUAUUUAUAUCUAUGCCUAUACGUAUAUAUAGAUGUAAUUGUGGACAUUACUCCACAACUAAUCACACUCAAUCAAAGAUCCAAAUCAGACAAGUAUCAUAAGAACAAACACUCAAGCGUAUAGAUAACUAUAAAAUAGUUUUAUUUUUGUUCCUAAGAGUAGGUCUCCUAGUCCUAAAGGUCGCUUUAGGCACAAGAUCUCAAAGUGUGAGAUCCAUAUUUGUCUUUAGAAAGAGAAGGUAAGAAUAAUUAGAGUAAAGCGGAAUUAGAUGAGAAAAGAUUAAGAUAAGUUUAGGAAAGAAUCAGAGUAGCAAAGGUAAGUAAGUAUUGGUUGUCCAGUGCUAUCUAGGUUUCGUCCUACAGUCAACAUUCCUCUGAUACCACUUCUGUAACACCCGGAUUUUAGGGGUCCAAAGCCCGGGCGUAAGCAUAAUCACCAGGUGUGCUGGGACCAAGUCUCACACAUAUGAUGAAUCAUGGCACAGGAUCGAAUGUCACAUCUUUACUAAAUAUCAGGAGUUAUAUACAAAAUAAAUAAAUAAUUACAUUAUAAGGAGACAACGGUCCAGCAACCCAAAGUUGACUGGGAGACGACGGCCUAGACCACUCACGAACUCAUCACAGCAUCCUCCACGCGCCUCAUCCUGCGGUACCUGUUCUUGACCUGUGGGGGGGGGGUGUGAGACAGCAAGAGUGAGCUCACAUACGUUCAUCGCUCAACAAGUUGUGGGGAAUAAUGUGCAUGAACUCGCCAAAGAUGGGAGCUCACGUGAAGUGUAAGGCUUACCAAAGGAGAUGGUUAGAGCUGAGCAUUGCUUUUAAAGUUGGUCAAAAUUUUAUUAGCAGUUACUAAGUAUAAGUAAAUACCAACCCAAUUAAGUAGUAAUACAAAAGUAAUAACAUCACCUGCGAUGCAAUGCAUAUGACAAAUUGAGUUUAAGUUCCAUAAUUUAAUCAUGUGAGGGUCCGAGCCGCUCAUGACCGUGAGCACGGCUAGUAUACUAGUUUUACACUCUGCAGAGGUUGCGCAUCUUUACCCACAAGCCGUGUUACCCAUCUGCCAAGGGGUCAUGAGUCUCAUACACCUCUACCGAGGAGGCGAGGCAGGGUAACACUACGAGGCCUUUACAAAGUUCCACUAGCUUCAGAAAUCCCGCUACAGUUUAUAGGAAGCUCCAAUGCAGGAAUCCCUUGCAGGACCGCCAUCGCAGCAAAAUCCUCCCGAGGGCCUCCCUACACUGACCACUCCCCUACUGCCCUUGCCCCUUUCGGGUAAGGAAGACCUCCACUAGCUUUCCUAGUUAAUCAGCCAAGGGCGUCCCAUUAAACCCUUGUGGUAGCACUGUUUUCCCGGGUGGUCGCUCCAUGUUCCAAUUAACAUAAUGAUCUUAUCAUGAACAUAAAUAACAUAACAGAAUAAUUGGAACAUGGAUGUAAUGAAAUAUUAACCCGAAAACCAUAUAAAGCAAUAGCAUAACUACCCAAUUGAUUCAGGGGUAAACAAGGUAAACAGGAUAAACAAACUAGGGUAACCUAUUGGGUCCCAUCAAAAUUAACCUAUGCAGAUCAUUAUGAUUAAUUAGAACAUGAGUAGGUAAAAAGAAGUGAUCAAGGGCACAACUUGCCUGAGACUUGAGAAUCCAGGUACCAACUUGCUUUUCAGAUGACACGUGUCCUCGCUCUAGUCGUAGCAAUACAAACAAACAUUGUAUAGGCAAAAUUAACAUUACACCAAGCAUGUAAAUAAAAUACACAGUAAUAAUCUAGACAUUAAAAUAAGAUCACAGGAACUGAAAUCAUUAAAUUUGGAGUUAUAGAUUUUAAGUUAUGGAUUUUCUAAUGUUUUAUGUGCUUAAUACAAGAUUAAGUGAAAGAAUAAUUUUAAUGUGUUUGUCAUGUCAGAACAGAGGCACUAAUGGGUAGACAAUAUUAUUACAAAAAUUUAGGAACUGGAAUGGACCAAUUUGGAGUUCAUAUGCAUUUUCUAUGAAUUAUACAAAUUGUAUGAAUUGUUUUUAUAUUAAAAACUCAUUUUCCAAUUCAUUUUCUUGAUUUUAUAACUCUCUGGACGGGGCUUCAAAUACUGAAAACUGCAGGGGCUCACUGGUAACUUAUCCUAGACUCAGUGAACAAUGCCACCAGGACGGCGGGUUCUAAUCUAUGAUUCCCGAGGGGCUAUUGUGCAAAAUGUUGCGGCGAAGGGGUAUGGAUGAACCAGAUCCGUCCGAUCGUGAACCUAAGGCUCGGAUUAGAUCGGGAAUUAUUAUGAUUCGGUAUGAAACCGGAACCGCCCGAUCUGGAAUAGACGGCCCAGAUCCCACAACGAAGCGGUACGCGACAGAUUCACUCACAACCGUGGAUAUGCCAAUCAACGGUGCACAAUGGUUACCCCCCAGAUCUAAUCCUAGGCGCUCCUUUCCGAUCCAACGGCCAGGAGGCCUUCUCCUAUCUCCGCUCCGAGUCACGGCGGCGCGUACAGACCGCACGGCGGCGCACGCCGGUGGCAUGAAAUCUCCCCACCCGAAGCACCCACAAUAGGGAUUGGACCGGUGAUAAUCCAAGCAGAGGAUGAGACGAACCUAGGGAUGGGCUUACCGGAGACAGAGAUGGCGCCAGGGAAGCUGUCCACGGUGAGCUGCGGGCGGCGGUGGAAGCGCAGCGACGGUGAGGAAUCCCCGGUGCCCCAACUCCCAAAUUGACCACGGCGCAGUCAUGGGAGCAUCCCAGGAGAUGCAGCGAAUGUCCCCGACCACCAAACGAAGGAUUGUAUGCGACGCACGCGGGAUUUGACCGCGGCGGCGAAAUCCGUUUCUCCUCCGCGACGGUGAAAUGAUUUUAGCGAGGAAUCCUCGCCGCACCGAGGACUCGCGAGCUCGAUUACUCCCCUGCUCCCGAUCUACACCUUCGUCGGUUCGCCUGGGAUCACACCGUGGAUUCCGAGCUAGGAUGGCAGCGAGGAACGACAGCAGUGCCCCAGGUUCACUGACGGCGGAUAUGCCAGAGCUCACCACAGCCAUGGGAGCGGCGGCUUGGCAGCAGCACCGCACCCCAGCGAGGUAUCCACCACGCCCAGCCGCCAGUCGAGUCCGCAGUGGCGCCAAGGCGAGGGAGGGACAAGACGGGGAGGUCGACGGCGAGCUACAAGCAGGCUAGACAAAAGCAGGGUGCAAUCCGGAGGAGAGGCGCGUGACUGGAGUUGAGCGGAGGGCAGGGGCACGACGGAGGAACUUUCCAUGGGGAACAGGGAG
rnacentral:lncRNA from 1 species